rnacentral:rRNA from 1 species
AUUGAACGCUGGCGGCAGGCCUAACACAUGCAAGUCGAGCGGUAGCACAGAGAGCUUGCCCUCGGGUGACGAGCGGCGGACGGGUGAGUAAUGUCUGGGAAACUGCCUGAUGGAGGGGGAUAACUACUGGAAACGGUAGCUAAUACCGCAUAAUGUCGCAAGACCAAAGUGGGGGACCUUCGGGCCUCAUGCCAUCAGAUGUGCCCAGGUGGGAUUAGCUAGUAGGUGGGGUAACGGCUCACCUAGGCGACGAUCCCUAGCUGGUCUGAGAGGAUGACCAGCUACACUGGAACUAGGACCCGGUCCAGACUCCUGCGGGAGGCAGCAGUGGGAAAUAUUGCACAAUGGGCGCAAGCCUGAUGCAGCCACGCCGCUUGUGUGAAGAAGGCCUUCUGGUUGUACAGCACUUUCAGCGGGGAGGAAGGCGGUAAGGUUAAUAACCUUGGCGAUGGACGUUACCCGCAGAAGAAGCACCGGCUAACUCCGUGCCAGCAGCCGCCGUAA